rnacentral:rRNA from 1 species
UACGUAGGGGGCAAGCGUUGUCCGGAUUUAUUGGGCGUAAAGCGCUCGCAGGUGGCCCGAUGCGUCGUGCGUGAAAGACCCCGGCUCAACUGGGGAGUGUCACGCGAUACUGUUCGACUCGAAGGCAGGAGAGGGAAGUGGAAUUCCCGGUGUAGUGGUGAAAUGCGUAGAUAUCGGGAGGAACACCAGUGGCGAAGGCGACUUCCUGGCCUGUUCUUGACGCUGAGGCGCGAAAGCGUGGGGAGCAAACAGG